GACGAACGCUGGCGGCGUGCUUAACACAUGCAAGUCGAACGGAAAGGCCCUGCUUUUGUGGGGUGCUCGAGUGGCGAACGGGUGAGUAACGCGUGAGUAACCUGCCCUUGACUUUGGGAUAACUUCAGGAAACUGGGGCUAAUACCGGAUAGGAGCUCCUGCUGCAUGGUGGGGGUUGGAAAGUUUCGGCGGUUGGGGAUGGACUCGCGGCUUAUCAGCUUGUUGGUGGGGUAGUGGCUUACCAAGGCUUUGACGGGUAGCCGGCCUGAGAGGGUGACCGGCCACAUUGGGACUGAGAUACGGCCCAGACUCCUACGGGAGGCAGCAGUGGGGAAUAUUGCACAAUGGGCGGAAGCCUGAUGCAGCAACGCCGCGUGCGGGAUGACGGCCUUCGGGUUGUAAACCGCUUUCGCCUGUGACGAAGCGUGAGUGACGGUAAUGGGUAAAGAAGCACCGGCUAACUACGUGCCAGCAGCCGCGGUGAUACGUAGGGUGCGAGCGUUGUCCGGAUUUAUUGGGCGUGAAGGGCUCGUAGGUGGUUGAUCGCGUCGGAAGUGUAAUCUUGGGGCUUAACCCCUGAGCGUGCUUUCGAUACGGGUUGACUUGAGGAAGGUAGGGGAGAAUGGAAUUCCUGGUGGAGCGGUGGAAUGCGCAGAUAUCAGGAGGAACACCAGUGGCGAAGGCGGUUCUCUGGGCCUUUCCUGACGCUGAGGAGCGAAAGCGUGGGGAGCGAACAGGCUUAGAUACCCUGGUAGUCCACGCUGUAAACGGUGGGUACUAGGUGUGGGGUCCAUUCCACGGGUUCCGCGCCGUAGCUAACGCUUUAAGUACCCCGCCUGGGGAGUACGGCCGCAAGGCUAAAACUCAAAGGAAUUGACGGGGCCCCGCACAAGCGGCGGAGCAUGCGGAUUAAUUCGAUGCAACGCGUAGAACCUUACCUGGGUUUGACAUGGAUCGGGAGUGCUCAGAGAUGGGUGUGCCUCUUUUGGGGUCGGUUCACAGGUGGUGCAUGGCUGUCGUCAGCUCGUGUCGUGAGAUGUUGGGUUAAGUCCCGCAACGAGCGCAACCCUUGUUCACUGUUGCCAGCACGUUAUGGUGGGGACUCAGUGGAGACCGCCGGGGUCAACUCGGAGGAAGGUGGGGAUGACGUCAAGUCAUCAUGCCCCUUAUGUCCAGGGCUUCACGCAUGCUACAAUGGCUGGUACAGAGAGUGGCGAGCCUGUGAGGGUGAGCGAAUCUCGGAAAGCCGGUCUCAGUUCGGAUUGGGGUCUGCAACUCGACCUCAUGAAGUCGGAGUCGCUAGUAAUCGCAGAUCAGCAACGCUGCGGUGAAUACGUUCCCGGGGCU
rnacentral:rRNA from 1 species